rnacentral:rRNA from 1 species
CCCGCAGNCGGGGUAANACAGAGGGNGCCAGCGUUAUUNNGGAUUAUNNGGGGUAAAGNNNGCGCGGCGGUGUUUUUAAGUUGGAUGUGAAAUUCCCGGGCUUCACCUGGGAACNGCCUUUAAAAUCGCCNAGCUAGAGUUUGUGAGGAGGUGGNGGAAUUUCCUGUGGAGCCGNGAAAUGCGGAGAUAUUGGGAAGAACUCCCGGGGAGGAGGGCGCCCCCUGGAAUAAUAAUGGCCGUUAAGUGAGAAAGCGUGGGGAGCAAACCAGGUUAGAUUCCCUUGUUGUUCCCCCCGUAAAAGAUGUUAAAUAGGGAGUUGGAGCCCUGAGGUCUUAGUUUCGGAGGUAACGCAUUAAGUUGGCCGCCUGGGGAGUACGGCCGCAAGGUUAAAAAUUAAAUGAAUUGACGGGGGCCCGCACCAGCGGUGGAGCCUGUGGUUUAAUUUGAAGCAACGCGAAGAACCUUACCAUGCCUUGACCUUCAGGGAAUUUCCCAGAGAUGNAUUGGUGCCUUUGGGAACAUUUACACAGUUGCGCCAUGGUGGUCNUCCACUUGUGUUGUGAAAUUGUGGGUUAAAUCCCGUCAAGAGCGCCACCCUUUUUCUUUUGUACCCGCAGGUCCGGCUGGGCACUCAAAGGAGACUGCCGGUGACAAACUGGAGGAAGGUGGGGAUGACGUCAAGUCAUCAUGGCCCUUACGACUUGGGCUACACACGUGCUACAAUGGUNGUUACAGAGGGAAGCCACCUCGCGAGGGCGAGCUAAUCCCACAAAAUCGAUCGUAGUCCGGAUCGCAGUCUGCAACUCGACUCCAUGAAGUCGGAAUCGCUAGUA